rnacentral:rRNA from 1 species
GACGAACGCUGGCGGCGUGCUUAACACAUGCAAGUCGAACGGAAAGGCCCUGCUUUUGUGGGGUGCUCGAGUGGCGAACGGGUGAGUAACACGUGAGUAACCUGCCCUUGACUUUGGGAUAACUUCAGGAAACUGGGGCUAAUACCGGAUAGGAGCUCCUGCUGCAUGGUGGGGGUUGGAAAUUUUCGGCGGUUGGGGAUGGACUCGCGGCUUAUCAGCUUGUUGGUGGGGUAGUGGCUUACCAAGGCUUUGACGGGUAGCCGGCCUGAGAGGGUGGCCGGCCACAUUGGGACUGAGAUACGGCCCAGACUCGUACGGGAGGCAGCAGUGGGGAAUAUUGCACAGUGGGCGGGAGCCUGAUACAGCAACGCCGCGUGCGGGAUGACGGCCUUCGGGUUGUAAACCGCUUUCGCCUGUGACGAAGCGUGAGUGACGGUAAUGGGUAAAGAAGCACCGGCUAACUACGUG